rnacentral:tRNA from 1 species
AAGGCUUUAAGUUAAUUGCAAACUAACAACCUUCAAAGUUGUCAAUAAAGAGGGCUCUUUAAGCCUUA